rnacentral:rRNA from 1 species
GAUGAACGUUGGCGGUGUGCCUAAUACAUGCAAGUCGAACGGAGUUAGUAGCAAUACUGGCCCAGUGGCGAACGGGUGAGUAACGCGUUGGUAAUCUGCCUUGAAGUGUGGAAUAACGUUUCGAAAGGAACGCUAAUACCGCAUGUGCUCUCGAUUUUCAGAAAGUUGAGAGUAAAGGAUUUAUUCGCUUCAAGAGGAGCCUGCGUCCCAUCAGCUGGUUGGUAGGGUAACGGCCUACCAAGGCUAUGACGGGUAGGGGACCUGAGAGGGUGGCCCCCCACAAUGGAACUGAAACACGGUCCAUACACCUACGGGUGGCAGCAGUAGGGAAUAUUAGAAAUGGACGAAAGUCUGAUCUAGCAACACCGCGUGUGCGAAGAAGGCCUUCGGGUCGUAAAGCACUUUUUGGAAGGAAUAGGAAGGAAUGUACUUCCAGAAUAAGUCUCGGCUAACUACGUGCCAGCCGCCGCCGUAAAAC